rnacentral:rRNA from 1 species
UACGAAGGGGGCUAGCGUUGUUCGGAAUUACUGGGCGUAAAGCGCACGUAGGCGGAUAUUUAAGUCAGGGGUGAAAUCCCAGAGCUCAACUCUGGAACUGCCUUUGAUACUGGGUAUCUUGAGUAUGGAAGAGGUGAGUGGAAUUCCGAGUGUAGAGGUGAAAUUCGUAGAUAUUCGGAGGAACACCAGUGGCGAAGGCGGCUCACUGGUCCAUAACUGACGCUGAGGUGCGAAAGCGUGGGAGCAAACAGG